rnacentral:lncRNA from 1 species
AACACGAUUACUGGUCCACCUAGAAAUGCCGUGGAGCGAUUUAAGAGCCUCGGAAAUUUCCUUUAAGGUCAGGAGAGAAGCUGGUAACAGAUGGGGCGAAGGAGGAAAAGUUCUUUUUGCGGCACCCUCACGCCUUCCCAGCCCUUUCGCGGUUUACUCGCUCCCCGGAAAGCAGACUAGUCUCACUCUGUUGCCCAGGCUGGAGUGCAGUGGCGCGAUCUCAGCUUACUUCAGCCUCCGCCUCCCGGUUUCAAGUGAAUUCUCCAGCCUCAACUUCACAAGUAGCUGGGAUUACAGGGCAUUCAAGCAGCCCUGAGGAGAGGUCCACAUGGUGAGCCACUGAGGGCCUUGCCAAGAGCCAGCACCAACGGUCCAGGUUUGGAGUGUACCACCUUGGAAGUGAAUCUUCCAGUCCAGUCAAGCCUUCAGAUGACUUCAGAACCGUCCAUGUAAGCCACUCUUGGAUUCCUGACCCACAGAAACUGUUGGAGCUGCCAAUUUGCAGGAAAUAGAGGAGAGAAGCAUCUGUUGAACUGCACCAUGAGUAUACACUCAGCAAAGGCCAAACUGUGGAAAAUGAUACAGGUCAAACAGCCUGGAUUCUUUAACAGUAAGUGAUGUUUCUGAAGCACCAAUGAAAAUGAAGUCCUGAAGUCCUGUGCUCAAUAUGAAAUGUUGGAAGUUAGAAGAAAAAAACAAAACUUGGAUCCAAUCUCAAGGCACUUUUUGUUUAAUGGGAAGAAGUGGAUUAUUUUAAAAGCUACAAAUAAAGUUACAUAAAAGUAGCAAA